GUGCCAGCAGCCGCGGUAAUACGGAGGGUCCGAGCGUUAUCCGGAAUCAUUGGGUUUAAAGGGUCCGUAGGUGGACUAAUAAGUCAGAGGUGAAAUCCCAUAGCUUAACUAUGGAACUGCCUUUGAUACUGUUAGUCUUGAGUCAUUUGGAAGUAGAUAGAAUGUGUAGUGUAGCGGUGAAAUGCAUAGAUAUUACACAGAAUACCGAUUGCGAAGGCAGUCUACUACGAAUGUACUGACACUGAUGGACGAAAGCGUGGGGAGCGAACAGGAUUAGAUACCCUGGUAGUCCACGCCGUAAACGAUGGACACUAGCUGUUGGGCUUCGGCUCAGUGGCUAAGCGAAAGUGAUAAGUGUCCCACCUGGGGAGUACGGUCGCAAGAUUGAAACUCAAAGGAAUUGACGGGGGCCCGCACAAGCGGUGGAGCAUGUGGUUUAAUUCGAUGAUACGCGAGGAACCUUACCAGGGCUUAAAUGUAGAGUGACAGGGCUAGAGAUAGCUUUUUCUUCGGACACUUUACAAGGUGCUGCAUGGUUGUCGUCAGCUCGUGCCGUGAGGUGUCAGGUUAAGUCCUAUAACGAGCGCAACCCCUAUUUUUAGUUGCUAACAGGUUAAGCUGAGGACUCUAAAGAGACUGCCGGUGCAAACCGUGAGGAAGUGGGGAUGACGUCAAAUCAUCACGGCCCUUACGUCCUGGGCUACACACGUGCUACAAUGGUAUGGACA
rnacentral:rRNA from 1 species